rnacentral:rRNA from 1 species
AACGAACGCUGGCGGCAGGCUUAACACAUGCAAGUCGAGCGAGACCUUCGGGUCUAGCGGCGGACGGGUGAGUAACGCGUGGGAACGUGCCCUUCUCUACGGAAUAGCCCCGGGAAACUGGGAGUAAUACCGUAUACGCCCUUUGGGGGAAAGAUUUAUCGGAGGAGGAUCGGCCCGCGUUGGAUUAGGUAGUUGGUGGGGUAAUGGCCCACCAAGCCGACGAUCCAUAGCUGGUUUGAGAGGAUGAUCAGCCACACUGGGACUGAGACACGGCCCAGACUCCUACGGGAGGCAGCAGUGGGGAAUCUUAGACAAUGGGGGCAACCCUGAUCUAGCCAUGCCGCGUGAGUGAUGAAGGCCUUAGGGUUGUAAAGCUCUUUCAGCUGGGAAGAUAAUGACGGUACCAGCAGAAGAAGCCCCGGCUAAAUAUGUGCCAGCAGCCGCCGUAAUAC